AGUAAAUGGGGUCUCGUUACCUGACCAAACAAAACCUUGUCUCUCUAUCUAUUGUAAUGAAGUUUUCGGCCUCGGAUUCUGAUUGAUGUAAGCAAGAUCGAUAUGACUACAACUGUCUUGGGAUUCAAGAUAUCUAUCCCCAUCAUGGUUGCACCAACUGCUAUGCAUAAGAAGAUGGCGCAUCCAGAAGGUGAUUAUGUUACAGCUAGAGCUGCAUCAGCUGCUGGAACUAUUAUCGUAAUUCGUUCAUUAAACAAUUUGAAAGGUUGCAACAUCACAAAGCUCUUGUUGCAGACACUAUCUUCAUGGGAUACUUCCAGCGUUUAAGAGGUUUCAACAGGACCAGGAAUCAGAUUUGUCCAGCUAUAUGUGAGCUCCAUGGCACGCUAUAUAUGUCACUCGCUCAUGAAUCAAGAAGCUUCAACGUUCAGUUUUUUUUAAUAGGAUUGUAAGGACAGGAACGUGGUUGCUCAGUUUGUGAGAAGAGCUGAGAGAGCUGGGUUUAAAGCAAUCGCUCUUACUGUUCAUACACCACGACUUCUUCGCAGAGAAUCUGAUAUUAAGAACAGGUCUAGCUAGCCACCUUACUUGGCUUUGAAGAAUUUUGAAGGUCUAGACCUUGGCAAGAUGGAUAUGGUAUUAACUAACAUCAAUCUUUGAUCAUAUAUGUAAUUUCCAAAUGGUCUGAAACGUUUCUAAACAUUAUAAUGGUGUAUUAUUCGGGCAAAUGACUCAGGACUAGCAUCCAACGUGGCUGGACAAAUUGAUCGUACCUUGACCUGGAAGACAAAUUUUUAAAAAAUUUUAAAAAGCAAAAAACAAAAAAUAUUGCUGUACGAUUGAUCUCUUUGGGAUACAUGAUUAAAUGAUAUAGGAUGUGAAAUGGCUUUCGGACAAUCACGAACCUGCCACUUCUAAUGAAAAGUGUUCUCACAGCUGAAGACGCUAGGAUGGCCUGUACAAACAGGAGCAACCAGUAUCAUCGUGUCUAACCAUGGUGCUCGUUAACUAGAUUACGUCCCAGCCACGGUCGUAGCCCUUGAAGAGGUUAAUUUGUAACUUAUAAAUCAACCCUCUUCCGUCUUAACUUUUGAAGGUUGUUACCAUAGUUCAACUCUCAAUGCUAUGGUUCUCUCAGGUUUUUUUAAGUAGCUCAGG